rnacentral:lncRNA from 1 species
GGUGAAACUCUGGAUCCACAGACAGGAAAGGAGGACCUAGAACAACAGUCAGACUUUUGCAAAAUUGGGGAUUUUUCAAAACAGUGGUUGUAUUAAAUGUACAGCUUUUCAAAAGUUUGGUUUCUCAAAAUAAGGUAGCUUGUUUCAAUAGGUUUCUCAAAGGUAGCUUGUUUCAAUGGUUGCUCAAAAAAAGGUAGCUUGCUUCAAUAGGUUUCUCAGAGGUUUCUGGUACACUGGUUUCUCAGAGGUUUCUGGUACACUGGUUUCUCAGAGGUUUCUGGUACACUGGUUUCUGAAAGGUUUCUAGUACACUGGUUUCUCAGAGGUUUCUGGUACACUGGUUUCUCAGAGGUUUCUGGUACACUGGUUUCUGAAAGGUUUCUAGUACACUGGUUUCUCAGAGGUUUCUGGUACACUGGUUUCUCAGAGGUUUCUGGUACACUGGUUUCUCAGAGGUUUCUGGUACACUGGUUUCUGAAAAGCUUGUCACAAUGGUUUCUGAAAGGCUUGUCACAAUGGUUUCUGAAAAGCUGAUCAAUCAGAUAGAGCGGUAGAGGAGACAGGAAAGUCAGAGUAACCAAACUUAGUCAGAGGGAUAGAGAAAAGGGGGACACAAGAUAGAGUGGCUUUCAAUUAGAUAGAGCGGUAGAGGAGACAGGAAAGUAAGAGCGUCCAAAAUUUAGCUAGAGGGAUAGAGAAAAGGGGGACACAAGAUAGAGUGGCUUUUCAAUAAGACAGAGAGGUGGAGGAGACAGGAAAGUCAGAGCGGCCAAAAAGAUAGGGGAGAGUGGGGAGACUGGACACGAUAC